UGAACGCUGGCGGCGCGCCUAACACAUGCAAGUCGAACGAUUAAAGCGCCUUCGGGUGUGUAUAAAGUGGCGCACGGCUGAGUAACACGUGGGCAACCUGCCCCUUUCAUUGGGAUAGCCACGGGAAACCGUGGAUAAUACCGAAUACUUCGAGACUUCCGCAUGGAAGACUCGAGAAAGCUCCGGCGGAGAGGGAUGGGCCCGCGGCCUGUUAGCUUGUUGGUGGGGUAACGGCCUACCAAGGCAAUGAUGGGUAGCUGGGUUGAGAGACCGACCAGCCAGAUUGGGACUGAGACACGGCCCAGACUCCUACGGGAGGCAGCAGUGGGGAAUCUUGCACAAUGGGCGAAAGCCUGAUGCAGCGACGCCGCGUGCGGGAUGAAGGCCUUCGGGUUGUAAACCGCUUUCAGCAGGGACGAGGCGAAAGUGACGGUACCUGCAGAAGAAGCCCCGGCUAACUACGUG
rnacentral:rRNA from 1 species